GAUGAACGCUGGCGGCGUGCCUAACACAUGCAAGUCGAACGAACUCUAGAUCUUAUUCCUAGCAUUCGACGGGAGCAGACAUAUAACUUUUGUGAAAUAUGAUUUUAUUGAGCAAAAGUUCAUAUGUCUGCUAGACGUCGAUACCUUUGCUAGGCAUCAGGUCUUUAGAGUUAGUGGCGGACGGGUGAGUAACACGUUAGUACCUGCCCUUUAGUGGGGAAUAACCCGGCGAAAGUCGGGCUAAUACCGCAUAUGACCGUUUACGGUUAAGACUUCGGUCGCUAAAGGGAGGGGCUUGCGUCUGAUUAGCUAGUUGGCGGGUAAAGGCCCACCAAGGCUACGAUCAGUAGCUGGUUCGAGAGGAUGACCAGCCACACUGGGACUGAGAUACGGCCCAGACUCCGUACGGGAGGCAGCAGUGAGGAAUCUUCCGCAAUGGGCGAAAGCCUGACGGAGCAACGCCGCGUGC
rnacentral:rRNA from 1 species